GCGGCAUGCCUAACACAUGCAAGUCGAACGAGACCUUCGGGUCUAGUGGCGCACGGGUGCGUAACGCGUGGGAAUCUGCCCUUGGGUUCGGAAUAACAGUGAGAAAUUACUGCUAAUACCGGAUGAUGUCUUCGGACCAAAGAUUUAUCGCCCAGGGAUGAGCCCGCGUAAGAUUAGGUAGUUGGUGGGGUAAUGGCCUACCAAGCCGACGAUCUUUAGCUGGUCUGAGAGGAUGAUCAGCCACACUGGGACUGAGACACGGCCCAGACUCCUACGGGAGGCAGCAGUGGGGAAUAUUGGACAAUGGGCGAAAGCCUGAUCCAGCAAUGCCGCGUGAGUGAUGAAGGCCUUAGGGUUGUAAAGCUCUUUUACCAGGGAUGAUAAUGACAGUACCUGGAGAAUAAGCUCCGGCUAACUCCGUGCCAGCAGCCGCGGUAAUACGGAGGGAGCUAGCGUUGUUCGGAAUUACUGGGCGUAAAGCGCGCGUAGGCGGCAUGAUAAGUCAGGGGUGAAAUCCCGGGGCUCAACCUCGGAACUGCCUUUGAAACUAUCACGCUAGAAUCUUGGAGAGGUCAGUGGAAUUCCGAGUGUAGAGGUGAAAUUCGUAGAUAUUCGGAAGAACACCAGUGGCGAAGGCGACUGACUGGACAAGUAUUGACGCUGAGGUGCGAAAGCGUGGGGAGCAAACAGGAUUAGAUACCCUGGUAGUCCACGCCGUAAACGAUGAUAACUAGCUGUCCGGGCUCUUGGAGCUUGGGUGGCGCAGCUAACGCAUUAAGUUAUCCGCCUGGGGAGUACGGUCGCAAGAUUAAAACUCAAAGGAAUUGACGGGGGCCUGCACAAGCGGUGGAGCAUGUGGUUUAACGAGCGCAACCCUCGUCCUUAGUUGCCAUCAUUUAGUUGGGCACUCUAAGGAAACUGCCGGUGAUAAGCCGGAGGAAGGUGGGGAAGACGUCAAGUCCUCAUGGCCCUUACACGCUGGGCUACACACGUGCUACAAUGGCGGUGACAGUGGGCAGCAAGCACGCGAGUGUGAGCUAAUCUCCAAAAGCCGUUUCAGUUUGGAUUGUUCUUUGCAACUCGAGAGCAAGAAGGCGGAAUCGCUAGUAAUCGCGGAUCAGCAUGCCGCGGUGAAUACGUUCCCAGGCCUUGUACACACCGCCCGUCACACCAUGGGAGUUGGGUUCACCCGAAGGCGUUGCGCUAACUCGCAAGAGAGGCAGGCGACCACGGUGGGCUUAGCGACUGGGGUGAAGUCGUAACAAGGUAGCCGUAGGGGAACCUGCGGCUGGAUCACCUCCUUUCU
rnacentral:rRNA from 1 species